rnacentral:lncRNA from 1 species
CUCAUUACACCACUUUAAGAAGUGAAGUCCAGGACUAAAGCCAUUGACCUGGAUGGACCUAGGACACACACUAAAGGACACAUCUGGGUGCGUACCAAUCAACAGUAAGAGGGGCCGGGUGUGGUGACUCCUGGCUGUAAUCCCAGCUACUUGGGAGGCUGAGACAGGCGAAUCACUUGAACCCGGGAGGCGGAGGUUGCAGUGAGCCAAGAUCAUGCCAUUGCACUCCAGCCUGGGCCAAAGAGCAAGAUUUCUUCGUCUCAAAACAACAACAACAACAACAACAACAACAGUAAGAGGCAAAUUCACCAAGGAGCUUUUUAUAUCUCACAAAAUAGCAUGUUGCUAAUAAGAAGAAUAAAAUGAAACCAAGGUCAUAUAAAUAUCUGACCAUUGACCUCAACAACUUUUUCUCCAUGACCAACUUUACUCACCAUUAAAAUGGGAAUUGCUGUUUCUCUGAAAAAUGAAGAAGAAAUAUGUAUGUUAAUUACCGGGUUUAAUACAAUUUUUAUUAAUCUGUUCAGUAGAUAAUUUGACAAAUAUUUUUUGAGCAUCUAUGUUAUGCUACAUGUCAG